GGAGUUAGAUGCGUGGUGGAUGCGGGCUGGGUGCGGGGGUGGAUGCGGGGCUGGGUGCGGGUCUGUGUGCGGGCCGGGUGGUCUCGCGUGGGCGCAGCAGUGCGGGGCUGGCGCGCAGGAGCGGACGCGGGCGGCGCUGCUGGAGACGCUGCACGAGGAGCUGCAGGCGCGCAGCCAGGCCAUGCUGGGGCUCAGCCCCGACGAUGAGCGCCCCGACAACGGCGGCGCCGCCCCGGGCUUCUUCGAGUCCUUCAAGGUGGGCGCGGGGGUCCCGCAGUCCCUCACGCAGCGCUGCGGGGCCGGGUUCCCUCCCCAGGUCCCCACCCAGGACACGCCCCCUGCACUGACCACGCCCCUGUGUUGACCACGCCUCUUUGCUGUGACCACGCCCUGGGCCUUGGCCCCGCCCCCUGCGCGCGCAGCCGAUCUGCCGGGGUGUGGCUGCGGCCACGCCCACCCCGGGUCCCGCCCCCUCACGGACAACAACCGCCCCCUGACCGCAAGCCCCGCCCCGAUCCUCUAGAAACCACGCCCAUGGGGGCCACGCCCCUUCAUCGGCACAAGCCCCGCCCAAAAUGCUGGUCGCGUCCCGCGUCUUAAGCCCCGCCCCUUACUACAGGCCCCUCCUAUCUCACCUUUGGCUCCGCCCCCCCGGUACCCAGUUCCCCUCCCGGUACCCGGUUCCAUCUCGGUACCCGGCUUCCCCCGGUUACUGAUACCCCCCGGUACCCAGUGCCCCCCAGUACCCGGUUCCCCUCCCGGUACCCGGUUCAGCUCCCGGUUGCCCCUCAGUACCCAGUUUCCCCUCCCGGUACCCGGUUCCCCCUCCGGUGCCUGUUUGCCCCCGGUACCCGGUUCCCCGCGCCCCGUGUCCCCGGUCUCUGACCCGCCGCCGCCCUCAGUCGCUGCUGGUGCCCGGGAGCCGCCGGGGACGCCGCGGCAGCGCCAUCGGGCUGGGCUCGGUGGAAGAGGGACAGCCCCGCAGCCGCCGACGGCUCCAGCUCCACACACAGCUCCCCCGAGAGCCGCCGGAACCCCGACAGGUCCCGGGGCUGGCACCGGGAUGGGGACACGGGGACAGGAGGGCACUGGGGGGGGGAAUGUUUGGGACUGGAAGACACUGGGAUGGUGUGGCAACGGGACAGGGUGGCACCAGGAUGGGGUGACUCCAGCACCAGGUGACACGGGGACUGGAGGACGCUGCGAUGGCGCAGCUCAAGGACGGGGUGGCACAGGGAUGGGCACUGGGACAAGUGAAGGUGACACAGGAGGGAUGGGACAGCAAAGGAAUGCAGAGGGACAGAGUGGCGGCAGGGUGGGGUGGCACAGGGACAAGGUGGCACCAGGAUGGCUGGCACAGGGCAGCAUGGGAACACCAGAGGGACAAGGUGUCACAGGGACAGGCUCACCCAGGGGCUGAGUGGCACCGGGUCCGUAUGUCCCAGGGACAAGGUGGCAGCGGGCUGCGGGGUGGCACUCGGGUAGCUUGGCUGCAGGGUGGCAUGAAGGUGGGUGGCACAGGGACACAAGGGACAUGGGGACAGGAUUGCACGGGGCUGGCACCUCCCAGGGCUGGGAUGGGAUGGGGUGGGGACAGGGUGCCACAGGGAUGGGACAUGCCGGGGCCAGGGUGACAUGAGGAUGCAGUGUCCCGGCCGGGGUGGUGUGGGGACAGGGUGUCCCGGGGCCAGCACAGCAUCGCAGCGGGGCCACGGUGGUGGCCACGAGGCGCGGUGCCAGCCUGUUGUGGCCUUGGGGACCGUCCCUGGCCGUGGGGACUGUCCCUGGCAGGGCCGAGAAGCCGGAGCCGCCGGAUUUCUCCCGCUCCUCCUCCAGCGCCAGCAGCUUCGGCAGCGCCGCGGAGGAGCCCGGCGAGCCGGGACGGGUACGGGGAGCCCGGGGUGGGCUCCGGGGGGGCACUUUGGGGUGGGCAGCACCCCCUGACCCCCCUGUGCCCCCUCAGGAGAGCCGCUCGCCCUCGGGGAGCCACCGCGACGCCUUCACGGACACCCCCUGGCCGGAUGAGCCCCCCGGGACCCCCCCAGGUAGCCCAGCACCCCCGGAUCGGGGCACUGCAGGGCUGGGGGCUCCUCGGGGUGCUCACGGUCCCCCCUUUGCCCCAGGCCGCCGCCCGCCUGACUCCCCCUGCCCUGAGAUCAAAAUCCAGCUGGAGCAGCCCCCCCAGAACCCGGUGAGGCUUUGCCCCCUUCACCCGUGCAGAGUGGGGGUGCCCACCGUGGGGUGCCCCCACUGAUGUCCCUCCCACAGGGCUCAUAGUCACCCCCCCACCUGCGGGGGUGCCACUGCUUCACCCCCCUCUGUGUGCCACCCCCGUGCCAGGAGCUGAAGCCAUCGUCCCCGGUGCAGGACUUGGGGGGGGGGGNNNNNNNNNNNNNNNNNNNNNNNNNNNNNNNNNNNNNNNNNNNNNNNNNNNNNNNNNNNNNNNNNNNNNNNNNNNNNNNNNNNNNNNNNNNNNNNNNNNNNNNCGUGACCCCAAAAUGAGGAGUGGGUCCAACCCCAGCAUCAUCCCCUCCCCUAAAAAACCAGAGGGGACUCAAAUCCAGGGUAACCCCAAAGUGGAGCUCCCUCUCCCCCCCUUUAUUUUAAGGGACAAAAGUUCCGGAAUGUGCCGGAGGCUGGAACUGGGGGGAAGGGGGAGGAAUAUUUUUUCACACCCUCCCAAAACUGUGUUUGUGUUUCCCGUGAGUCCUGUAUAAAAUAAAGGUUUAUUUAUCGCUACA
ensembl:lncRNA